rnacentral:rRNA from 1 species
AUUGAACGCUGGCGGCAUGCUUUACACAUGCAAGUCGAACGGUAACAGGCCGCAAGGUGCUGACGAGUGGCGAACGGGUGAGUAAUGCAUCGGAACGUGCCCAGUCGUGGGGGAUAACGCAGCGACAGCUGCGCUAAUACCGCAUACGAUCUAUGGAUGAAAGCGGGGGACCGUAAGGCCUCGCGCGAUUGGAGCGGGCGAUGUCAGAUUAGGUAGUUGGUGGGGUAAAGGCACACCAAGCCAACGAUCUGUAGCUGGUCUGAGAGGACGACCAGCCACACUGGGACUGAGACACGGCCCAGACUCCUACGGGAGGCAGCAGUGGGGAAUUUUGGACAAUGGGCGCAAGCCUGAUCCAGCAAUGCCGCGUGCAGGAAGAAGGCCUUCGGGUUGUAAACUGCUUUUGUACGGAACGAAACGGCUCUCUCUAAUACAGGGGGUUAAUGACGGUACCGUAAGAAUAAGCACCGGCUAACUACGUGCCAGCCGCCGCGGUAAUAC